rnacentral:tRNA from 1 species
GCGCCCGUAGCUCAGUGGAUAGAGCGCCGGCCUCCGGAGCCGGGUGCGGCAGUUCGACUCUGCCCGGGCGCACCA